rnacentral:rRNA from 1 species
UACGAAGGGGGCUAGCGUUUGUUCGGAAUUACUGGGCGUAAAGCGCACGUAGGCGGACUUUUAAGUCAGGGGUGAAAUCCCGGGGCUCAACCCCGGAACUGCCUUUGAUACUGGGUAUCUCGAGUCCGGAAGAGGUGAGUGGAAUUCCGAGUGUAGAGGUGAAAUUCGUAGAUAUUCGGGAGGAACACCAGUGGCGAAGGCGGCUCACUGGUCCGGUACUGACGCUGAGGUGCGAAAGCGUGGGGAGCAAACAGG